rnacentral:tRNA from 1 species
CCUUCGAUAGCUCAGUUGGUAGAGCGGUGGACUGUAGUUGGAAAAACAUGCAAUAGAAAUCCAUAGGUCGCUGGUUCAAAUCCGGCUCGAAGGA